GCCUGGGUGGCUCAGUCGGUUGAGCGGUCGACUUCGGCUCAGGUCACGAUCUCGCGGUCCGUGGGUUCGAUCCCCGCGUCGGGCU
rnacentral:tRNA from 1 species